UGGGGGACAUGCACACUCCAGUGAGCACAUGACUGAGAUAGAAAUAGAGUCCGUGGUAAAUUAUCAAGCACUUUCACGUGACGUUCUUUUUUUUUCCCUUUAGUGUCGUGUUCGUUUUGGUUCUACUUUAACUAGAGGUAGACCCUGGCGUAACUUAAAUUUGAUUGAAACUUAUUGAGAGUGGUUAUCAGUCGACAGUGGUCUUGUGGAAUAUUAACUAUUAUUGUGUUAUCUCAAAACAUGGGGGUCUUAACUAUGGUUAACAAGUUCCAAAUGCUAUAGAAGGCUUUAAAUUUAUGCUAAUAAACUUACCAAAAUUAUCUUCCUCCACCAGCAUGUCAAUACUAGCAGAUGAUGGACUUUCUGUGUGUAUAUGAUAGUAGAGAAAUUAUGUCUGACACAAAAUAACACGAUAAUUUUAACAUUUACUUAAGUUUGAAGAACAGACAGAGUCAGCAUCCAUCAAAACUUCAUAGGAUCAAGUUUCAUUAAUUCAUAGCUGAUUGCAAGAAAUAUGCAACACUGGCCAAGAAAUUACGAACGAUGUACAGCAAUAUGAAUCAAUGGAUCGUCUACUGUAUCUACUAUCCAUAGCCUUAUUGAAUUAAAUUAACAUGCAAAAACAAUUUUUACACUAGCUCUAGAUCUAUAGAUGUUAUUUUUUUUAUUUUUAAUGCCAUUAUAUUCUAUUCUUAUUUAAUGUGUUACUCUUUUUGUCAUGUAAAUGAAAAUAAAUAUAUAAAAUAUUGUUAAUUUCAUACUUUUUACAAUUAUUAUUUGAUGGAUUAAAGGACGAAAUGACCAACGGAUGAAAUGAUCAGGGGAUGAAAUGACUGGGAAAAAGUUUCACUACUUUAUUAAGUAUAACAAGAUAUGAAUAAAACAAUAUAAAUCUUCUUUUAUACUGCUACAGCUAUAGGUUAUUCAUUAAAAUCAAAAAAAAUUCCAGGUAUUAAUUUUAAAAAGUUUAGAUAUUUUAUGUUAAUAAAAUUGUAUUUAGUUAAGAAUGAACAAAUAUAAUUAAGUACAGCAGAGUUAAAAUAUGUGUAUAGUUUAGAUUUCGAGAAUUUUUAUUUAAUUUGAAAAAAAUAGUUUGACUUCAUGCAAAAAGAAACUUUUUCAUUUUAACAUAAUACACCAUGUUUACCUUUUAUAUUUUGUUUGCCCUGUUCAACUUUGACUAUGCUUCCAUUUAUUGG